rnacentral:pre_miRNA from 12 species
CGUGCAGCAGCUGGUGUUGUGAAUCAGGCCGUCACCAGUCGGAGAACGGCUACUUCACAACACCAGGGUGGCACUG